rnacentral:rRNA from 1 species
CGUGGGCAAUCUGCCCUUCACUCUGGGACAAGCCCUGGAAACGGGGUCUAAUACCGGAUACUGACCUGCCAAGGCAUCUUGGCGGGUCGAAAGCUCCGGCGGUGAAGGAUGAGCCCGCGGCCUAUCAGCUUGUUGGUGAGGUAAUGGCUCACCAAGGCGACGACGGGUAGCCGGCCUGAGAGGGCGACCGGCCACACUGGGACUGAGACACGGCCCAGACUCCUACGGGAGGCAGCAGUGGGGAAUAUUGCACAAUGGGCGAAAGCCUGAUGCAGCGACGCCGCGUGAGGGAUGACGGCCUUCGGGUUGUAAACCUCUUUCAGCAGGGAAGAAGCGAAAGUGACGGUACCUGCAGAAGAAGCGCCGGCUAACUACGUGCCAGCAGCCGCGGUAAUACGUAGGGCGCAAGCGUUGUCCGGAAUUAUUGGGCGUAAAGAGCUCGUAGGCGGCUUGUCACGUCGGUUGUGAAAGCCCGGGGCUUAACCCCGGGUCUGCAGUCGAUACGGGCA